UAAGACAAGAAGUUAAAAUAAAUGAACAUGAAAAUUUAGUUUCCAAGUUUAUUUGCUUUUAGUUUUCGGAUGUUUACUACCCUUGUUUUUUGGUAGUUUUUCUUGUUUCUCACUCUGGUCUCAUUUGUUUCAGUUUCACCCAAGGCACCUAAACUAAAGCCAAUAGCAGGUUUGUCAAUUCCAUUUUGUUCAAUAGGGAAACAAAGCCCUAGUUCUUGGUCAUUAAUUGAGCCAAGUUCAUUCAAAGUCAGAGGGAAAAACUGCUUUAGGGACAAGAAGAAAGAAUUUGCGCCAACCAAUGCUGCUUUCUAUUCCCUUGGAGCAGACCUCUUUCUGUCUCAGCU